rnacentral:rRNA from 1 species
AACGAACGCUGGCGGCAGGCCUAACACAUGCAAGUCGAGCGCCCGUCCUUCAGAGAUCAGAAAUACAGAGAUCAGAAAUACAGAAAAGUACGCAACGGUCAAACGACCACGGAGACCUUCUGAUACCUGAUGUCUGAUAUCUGAUUUCUGAUGGGCGGGAGCGGCGGACGGGUGAAUAACACGUGGGAAUAUGCCUUUCGGUAACGGAAUAACGCAGGGAAACUGCGCUAAUACCGUAUACGCCCUCAGGGGGAAAGA